GAUGCUUUUAUCAACGGGUAUUCUUUAUACUUGUAUUCUAAUGGUGGAAUCGGCUGCAUGGUAUCCACAGAUGAUUUUUUUUGGCGAUUCUCAUACGAUGCCUUUAAAUCGCCAUAACUUUGAAGGUGGACAGUACAACAUCAAUAGAGAGCAAGGAAUUCUAGGAACGCUGCGCAAUAAAGAUUACAAGCGGAAUCCCGGGAUUGGUGCAGUAAAUCCACAGCUAAAGCCUCAGCGAAAUCGACAGCCAAAGCCACAGAGAGAAAGACGGAUGGUUAUACUGAAAAAACCAAGAACAUUGUAGCAGA